CAGAAUAAAUGAUGAUCUCACCCCAACUUGAACUCUCUCACUGAUUAUAUUGAUGAUAAUUAAAGAUCUGAUAUUCUG
ensembl:snoRNA SNORD81 Small nucleolar RNA SNORD81